rnacentral:lncRNA from 1 species
CAGUAGGAAGGUUGAGAACCACCAAUGUAGAUACUCUGACUUGGCCUUAGAAGACGCUGCGGCGGCUGCCUCAUUACCCUGGCCUGCUUCCCUGUUCUUAAAGAUUUCAGAGUUGAGUUACUGUGAGCAGUUGCUCGCUCAGUCACGCUUUUGGGUGAAUUCCCUGUCUGGGAACGUCUCUGAGCCUGUCUCUUUCCAUCUGUCCAGAGGUCGCGGCGUUGACAAGUUCACAGGGCGCUACAAUCUUGUGUUGCUGCUCUGUCACUCUUUGAUACGGUGACCCGGAGCCCUUUAAAUGAAAAGCAGUUGCAGAAUCGGCAGCAAUUUCAAACUUCUGCCAGAACACGCGUCUAUAGGGAGCUGGACCUUGGGGAUGAGGCCAUGUGUCUGGGAAGAGGCCUGGUUUGUGUCCUUGGCUUUGACCACUCUCAGUCUGAAGGCCUUGGCUUCUUGUCUUCCGCAGUAGAACAUAGAUUCUUUAAGGGGUGGCCAAGCCUUCCUUUAGACUUGACCUGUGCCUUGUUCCAUCUGACACGGGAGGGUUUUCCUUUCACCAACUGGUAUUUUUAUAACCUUUGCCGGGCCAGGCCUAGAAGCAGAGGCCCAAAGUUCCAUUUUCAGAGUGACUGAAGGUCAAUACCUUGGCAGUGAGGAGCAGCAGCCGUGUAGCUACCAGCAAGGCCUUCACAGAUGACAAGAAUCCACACUCGGAAAGCUAAGCAUAAACAGAAGACACCCAGCAACACACACAUACCUUGGCUGUCAACUGCAAGAGAAGGUUGUAGGACCGGAAACAUUGACAAUGAAAUGAAGAAUUGAAGUAUCCAUUUCCAGCCUGUGCUGAGUAGAACCCAGUCUUCACAUUGUUUUCCCCUCAUUGUGUGUGGCCUCCUAAGUACUUCAAGGAUCAAGACAUACCGAUUCAUUAUUGUGACUGCGAUGUUAUAAGCAAUGGAUAAUGGCGUCAGUAGAUGAAUCGUUGGAGGAGAUGGCCAUUCGAGGAGGAGCAGAAGUCACCUACUGAGAAGCAUGGGUUGGGCAUACUUUCAAAUAAUAACCCAAAAGAAACAAAAAUCAUCAGAUGACAUUUCAGCUUGGAGACACUCAGUUUUAUGAACACUUCAUUCACAAUAAAGGCCUUUACUUGGAGAGUGGACUCAGUGAGGGGCUUUCAGCCACUAGCCUGUACAUGUCCAGCCAGACUCAAUCACAAGUUGUAGGAGCCCUUGGGAGUGGAGGUCCUGGUUCAGUUACACCACUGGGGGCCAUUGCUCAUGAGUGAUCAGAAAGGAUGGAGAUUGUUCAUGUAGGCAAUAUGGAUGGAGGAAAAUUGGGGUGUAGUUGAGGGCAUCAAUCCUCUCAACCUCAAGGGGCAGACACUGUAUAGUCUUGAAAUACAUCAAUGACAUUGCUAUAUUGGAAUAAAAUUCAGGAUUGUUUAAUAUAAAACCUAUAAGUACUUUGUUCUCCUCCUAAGAAAGACUGAAGCACUCACACUUUGGUAAAGUGUAGACCAGAGACUGAAGGACAGGCCACCCAGAGACUGUCGGUACGAAGAUCACGAGUCCACUAGAGAGGGAACGCCAGCUACUCCCUUUUCGCAAAGGAUGAAAAAAAUUGGUGAAUCUCAUCGCUCCAACAAGUACCUUGGGAGGCCAUGGUGGGUGGAGAACACCACACUAGUGUGCAUGCUAAGACAGGGAGAGGAAUGGAUCUAACUCUAGGACAGCGUUACCAUGGUCUUGCUUAUAGUUUAAUGGAGCCAGUGAGGUGGUGCAGCAGACAAAGACACUUGUCGCCAAGCCUGAGGACCUGAAUUCUAUCCCUGAGACUCACGGUAUGCGAAGAGAUCCAACCUUUCAGAGUUGUCCUCUGACAUCCACACAGGCACUGUGGCAUGCCUGUUGUCCCCAUUAAACAAAUAAAUGUACUUGUAGGACCUCAUCCACAGGACUCUGGACUAUGAACUUUUUGGACAACGACAUGGUGUUAUAAUGUCUGGAGGCGGUACAUGCCUCUGGUCUUUGGCUUAUGACACGUGCCACUGCCUACUUUUGUACUUCACUGAGGACCCUGUGAUUGUCUGGAGCAAAGGAGGGCAGCUAGAUGACACUGAGAGAGGAUCUCACCCAAGGGUCUUUCUCUACAUGGGCAACCAUCUCUUCUCAGCCCGCUCAGCAUCACCUUCUAAAACAGCUUCAGAGAGACAUAACUUCUACUCAAGGAUCUCAGACUUUUUUGUUGCUAUUGAUCUUUACAAUGUUCCCCAGAUCCAGGGAGGAGAGAAUUAAAGAUCCUAUCAUAACUCAUCUUUGAGAAAAGUUUUCCUUAAGAAGGCCACAGGCUUGGCUGAAA